UUCUAAACAAAAACCUAAACGAAAUGAUCUCUGCGCCGCUCUGUAAAACGACUGCUCAAAAAAGGAUCUUCGAACCCCUGCUCAAACUCUGAUUGCGACGAAGAGAACAAGGAUCUGACCGCGAGGUACUCAGCCAGCCUGGAGCAACAGACGGAGGUGCACACGCGCGGAGGCGUAGCAUGUGCGAGGAGGGCCGUGAUUUUCCUUCUACGGUGACUGAAGGGUUUCAGAAACCCUAAGGGUUUCUGGAAUACUCUUUCAAAAUGGGCUAAUUGGGCUUAGGUAUUGGGUUUGUAGUAUUUGGGCUUAGUGGGUCUGAUGGGUUUAGUAUUUGGGUUAAGGACCGAAUCGAGCUUAAAGUAUUAUGGUUUGAUUUGGGCUGGUAAUUUUAUUGUAAUUGGACAUUAAUAUUUUUGGACAUUAUUUACUAUUUU